rnacentral:rRNA from 1 species
AGUAACGGCGAGUGAAGCGGGAAGAGCUCAAAUUUAAAAUCUGGCAGGCUACGCUUGUCCGAAUUGUAAUCUCGAGAAGUGUUUUCCGCGUUGGCCUGUGUACAAGUCCCUUGGAACAGGGCGUCAUAGAGGGUGAGAAUCCCGUCCUUGACACAGACACCCAAUGCUUUGUGAUACACUCUCAAUGAGUCGAGUUGUUUGGGAAUGCAGCUCAAAAUGGGUGGUAAAUUCCAUCUAAAGCUAAAUACUGGCGAGAGACCGAUAGCGAACAAGUACCGUGAGGGAAAGAUGAAAAGCACUUUGGAAAGAGAGUCAAACAGUACGUGAAAUUGUUGAAAGGGAAACGAUUGAAGUCAGUCGUGCCUGCCUAGUCUCAGCCUUUUGGUGUACUACUAGGUCGGCAGGUCAGCAUCAGUUUGGGAGGAUUAACAAGGGAGUUAGGAAUGUGGCAACCUCGGUUGUGUUAUAGCCUAGCUUCGCAUUGAUCUUGCUGGACUGAG